CUGACGUAUUUUUCAGUGAUUGUUCCAGGGAUUAUGAUGUGCUUUUGAUUUUUUCCAACGAAUGACGGACGAAGUGAUAGACUUCUUGCGCCGGAUGGGGCUCUGGAGCGCUGCCCGGAGGCAGUGGAUGGAGGGCGCCGGGCAUGACAUCAACAGCUCUGCAGCCAGGGUCUGGGGCACCCUCUUGUUCCACCUCCCAGGAGGCACGCAGCCAGCACCCGCAGCGGCCUGUGCGCCCCAGCCAGGCUUGACCUCAGCGCUGUGGCAGCCGUAUACCUCACCUGGGCAGGCCAAAGGCAAGCAGAGAGCUGGAUCUGCACCAAGGCCCUGGGGAAUGGAUGAUGUACAGGCGACGAAGCUACACUGUCUUUCCUUUUGGAGGGGGGGAAGAAAAAAGAAAACAAGGAAAUGGAAGAUUGAAAAUGUAUGGGCUCUCCUUCCUUUCCUUUGCUCCUGCGUGCUUUCUGGGGUUGAGGGGCGCAGCGAGCUUCAAGACGUGGCCGGGAUUCCCCCUGCCUCACCCCCAGUUCCCUGGGAGAGGUCAGUACGGCCCCUCCCGUGGGCGUCACAGAGACCAAUGCGGGUCCCCCUCUCUGGGAAGGGGCGGGUCUGGAGUCCGCAGGGCCCCUCGCAGGCGCUGACGCAGAGGGAAGCUGAGGUGGCACCAUACCCCAGGGCCCCUGCCUGCCUUCUGGGGAGCCUGGUGACCCAGGCAGCCCUGGUGAGGCCGCGGUUGUCUGGGCCCUACCGAGGCCGCCGGGCUCCCACAGGAUGGAUGCGGACAGUGAGGCCGGGGAGGCCCUGCUGCCCUCGGUACUGUCCCUCCAGCUCCCAGCUUUCGGUGGUUCUCUGGGCCCCCUCUGCAGAGGGUCAGGGGAGCCCAUCCUAGAUCCUGAGGCGCCGAGUUUGAGGGACCCCAGAGCUCCGGCCAGGCCGCUUCCUUUGCGGAUGGUGAAGCUGAGGUCCAGAGGAGGGCAGGGGCAGGUCCCAGGCGCUAGGGAGCCGAUCUCGGGGCUGGGGUCAUAGGGAGGCUCCUGCGACCUCCAGGGCCUUAGAGCCGGGGAGGAUGAGAGACUGGGGGCCUUUCGUCCAACCCUGUGGGUGGGCAGAGGCUCAGCCUAUGCCGCAAGGCAAGCUGCUUCUGGCCAAUCCGAGCCGCGGCCCCUUUAAGAAGGGGUGGUGCUUCAGCCUGGCGCGAGGGACGCCGCCAGCCUGCAUUCCCCUGGAAGCCGAGACUGCGCUUCGUGCGCGGUUCCAGCAGCAGCAGCAGUUGCGUGGUCAGAGCGAGGUUCGGAGAAGCGGUGGUGGUUUCCAUGUGACGGUGGAGGAAGAGGCAGGUCUUGGAGGAGACAAAACUUUUUUCAGUCUACAUGCCUGCGAUCACAUGGCAUGGGACUUUCUCUACCAGGCUCAUUUUUUAGACCUGAUGUUCUCCAGAUUUCUUUAUGUGGCUGCAGAUGGCAGGAUUUCCCAAAGCUUUGUGGCUGAAACAUAUUUUGUGGUGCAUCUGUACAGCAGUUUCUUCAUCCCUGCAGCUGUGUAUGGACAGGUCAUUUACCAUGAUGUCCUCCAGGUUCAACAGUGUGGCUCCAAAUGAUGAAAUUUCAUUCUGUUUUUCUGGCUGAAGAAUAUUCUAUUCGUGUACAUCCACCACAGUUACUUUAUCCUUUCAUCUGUGGAUGGACAGGUUUUUCCACAUGGCUGCAAAUGACUAGAUUUCACCCAUUUCUAUGGUUGAAGAAUAUUCCGUUCUGGAUGAACAUUGCAGUUUCCUCAUCCCUUCAUCAAUGGAUGAAAAGGCCCCUCUGCAGCAGGUCUGCUGGAGUUUACUGGAGGUCCACUUUAGGCCCUGUUUGCCUGUGUCACCAGCACAGGCUGCAGAACAGCAAAAAUUGCUGCCUGUUCCUUCACUGCUUCCCAGAGGGGCACCUGCCAGAUGCCAGCCAGAGAUCUCCUGAGUGAGGUGUCCGUUGACCUUUACUGGGAGGUGUCUCCCAGUCAGGAGGAAUGGGAGUCAGAGAAUCCCUUAAGGAGAGCUCGAGUGCUGUGCUGGGAGAUAAGCUACUCUCUUCAGAGCCAGCAAACAGGCACGUUUAAGUCUGCUAAAGUUGCUCCUACAGCCUCCCGUCCCCUAGGUGCUCUGUCCCAGGGAGAUGGGAGGUUGACCUAUAAGCCCCUGACUGGGGCUGCUGCCUUUUUUUCAGAGAUGCCCUGCCCAGAAAGGAGGAAUCUAGAGAGGCUAAGCUGUAGUGGCCUCCACCCAGUUCGAACUUACUGGCAGCUUAUACUGUGAGGAGAAAAUCGCCUACUCAAGUCUCAGUAAUGACAGAUACCCCUCUCCCCACCAAGCUUGAGCAUCCCAGGUUGACUUCAGACUGCUGUGCUGGCAGAGAGAAUUUCAAGCCAGUGGAUCUUAGCUUCCUGGACUUUGUGGGGGUGGGAUCCGCUAAGAAAGAUCACUUAGCUUCCUGGCUUCAGCCCCCUUUCCAGGGGAAUAAACGGUGCUGUCUUGCUGGUGUUCCAGGUGCCACUGGGGGAUGAAAAAAUACUCCUGCAGCUAGCUCAGUGUCUUCCCAAACAGCCACCCAGUUUUGUUCUUGAAACCUAGGGCCCUGGUGGUAUAGGCACUGGAGGGAUUCUCCUGGUCUGAGGGUUGUGAAGACUGUGGGAAAAGUGUGCUAUCUGGGCUGGAGUGCACUGUUCCUCACAGCACAGUUCCUCAGGGCUUCCCUUGGCUAGGGGAGGGAGUUCCCCAACCCCUUGCACUUCCUGGGUGAGGUGAUGCCCCACCCUGCUUUGACUCACACUCUGUGGGCUGUAUCCACUGUCUAACCAGUCCCAACGAGAUGAGCCGGAUAACUCAGUUAAAAAUGCAGAAAGCAGCUGCCUUCUGCAUUGCUCUUACUGGGAACUGCAGACUGGAGCUUUUCCUAUUCGGCCAUCUUGCCAGUCACCAAAAAUGUCUAUUUCCUAUUGAAAUGUCUUGGCAUCUUUGACAAAAUAAGCUUACCAAAUUAAUAUGAUUAUUAAUGGACCUUCAGUUUUAUUCUACUCGUGUACUUAAUCUCUUUUAUUUAUUUUUUAUUUUUUU